UUCUGAUCAACUUUACAGAACGACGGAAUAAAUCAUUCCGAAAGAUAAAAAAGUGGCCCACAAGUGACUUCGGUUCCGGCUAAUAAUGUUGGCUACUCUUGACGAUAGGUUGCUUUACCUUAGAAAAGAUGCUGGUAUUGGCGGCUGCGUUCAGCUUUCGGAGGCUCAGGCGGUGCGGUUCCGAUACCAUUCGAAAACAAAAUCAAUGUCGGCAACUUGCAGUGAAACGUUACUACCCAAUCGGAUAUCCACUUCUGAAACUCAUCAGCUGGGUGCUGUUCAGAAUGUGCGACAAUAAAUUUAACAGGAAUUUGCGACGCAGAAUAGCCCCAUUCCAUGCCUUUUUCAACAUUAGUCGGAAUGGUACCUAUCUGAAGAAGUUGGCCGUUUAAAAACUUCCGGUGCACCAAUGGAAGCCAACGUAACGAAGGUCUACCCGGUAUCGGUCCAAGUCUACAACCAGGAAGCUAAAAAUGGGCAAGGAUCUAAGAAGAUCGUGGGUCUCGCCAUGGUUUUCCUAGGAAAAGGGCAAGUACUAUGAUCAACAUUUCGCUACUUCCAUUAUGGAAAUUACAGUUCUGUUGAUAGAUUUUUUUCAACUUUGGAAUUUCAUAACUUUUUUGUUUGUGAAUAUUUCAAACAUUUUAUGAAGGAUAAAUAAUUAUCCUAUGAAAUUUGGCGUUUCUUUGAUGUUUCUGUGUGACUUGAGACUUAACAAAAAAAUGUUAUUUUCUUAUUGAAAUUCACUCAAGCCUAAAUAUCUCAGAAAUCACGCAAUACCUAAGUUAAAAUUCUACAGAGCAAAUCUUAGAAGAUAAAACUAUCAUGUGGUACAAUUUUUGGGCAUUCACCGAUAGAUGCAAUUUCAAUAUAAUUUCGGAUGAAAAGAAAAUAUCUACUUAGUAAAAGGUUACAGCAGUUUGAAAUUUAAGUUUAAAUUGCAGCACGGAAACUUUGUAUAGAAUUAUGAACGGCACUGUAGUUUGUAAAUUCCUUCUCGUAAACCUAGUUCCUAAAUAUUAGAUGAUGGACGGAUAAAUUUCACAAUUAUUGUCGGUUUAUGUUGGCUGUUAAUUUAUUGUGAA